rnacentral:rRNA from 1 species
GAGUUUGAUCCUGGCUCAGGACGAACGCUGGCGGCGUGCCUAACACAUGCAAGUCGAGCGGAGACAAUAGCAAUAUUGUCUUAGCGGCGGACGGGUGAGUAACGCGUGGGCAACCUGCCUAUUACAGGGGGAUAACACAGGGAAACUUGUGCUAAUACCGCAUAAAGCAGCGAGAAAGCAUUUUCUUGUUGCCAAAGGAGCAAUCCGGUGAUAGAUGGGCCCGCGUCCAAUUAGCUAGUUGGUGAUGUAACGGACCACCAAGGCGACGAUUGGUAGCCGAACUGAGAGGUUGAUCGGCCACAUUGGGACUGAGACACGGCCCAGACUCCUACGGGAGGCAGCAGUGGGGAAUAUUGCACAAUGGGGGAAACCCUGAUGCAGCAACGCCGCGUGAAGGAUGAAGGUUUUCGGAUUGUAAACUUCUUUAGUCAGGGACGAAUAAAUGACGGUACCUGAAGAAUAAGCCACGGCUAACUACGUGCCAGCAGCCGCGGUAAUACGUAGGUGG